UUGGAGGGCAAGUCUGGUGCCAGCAGCCGCGGUAAUUCCAGCUCCAAUAGCGUAUAUUAAAGUUGUUGCAGUUAAAAAGCUCGUAGUUGAAUUUCGGGAUCAAGGGAUCGGUCAUGCCUUGGUAUGUACUGGUCUUAUUGGUUCUCACCUUCUAAAGAACCAUGAUGUCAUUCAUUUGAUGUUAUGGGGAAUUAGGACUGUUACCUUGAAAAAAUUAGAGUGUUUAAAGUAAGCUUACGCUUGAAUACAUUAGCAUGGAAUAAUGAAAUAGGACAUCAGAUUCUAUUUUGUUGGUUUCUAGGAUCGAUGUAAUGAUUAAUAGGGAUAGUUGGGGGCAUUAGUAUUCAAUUGUCAGAGGUGAAAUUCUUGGAUUUAUUGAAGACUAACUACUGCGAAAGCAUUUGCCAAGGAUGUUUUCAUUAAUCAAGAACGAAAGUUAGGGGAUCGAAGACGAUCAGAUACCGUCGUAGUCUUAACCAUAAACUAUGCCGACUGGGGAUCGGAUGAUGUUAAUUUUUUAAUGACUCAUUCGGCGCCUUACGGGAAAC
rnacentral:rRNA from 1 species